rnacentral:tRNA from 1 species
CCCGUGUGCUCAAUCGGUUUAGAGCGUCUGACUCUACAUCAGAGGUUGCGAGUUCGAGUCUCGCCAUGGAGG